AUUGAACGCUAGCGGGAUGCUUUACACAUGCAAGUCGAACGGCAGCGCGGACUUCGGUCUGGCGGCGAGUGGCGAACGGGUGAGUAAUGUAUCGGAACGUGCCCAGUAGCGGGGGAUAACUACGCGAAAGCGUAGCUAAUACCGCAUACGCCCUACGGGGGAAAGCAGGGGAUCGUAAGACCUUGAACUAUUGGAGCGGCCGAUAUCGGAUUAGCUAGUUGGUGAGGUAACGGCUCACCAAGGCGACGAUCCGUAGCGGGUUUGGGAGGACGACCAGCCACACGGGGCCUGAGCACCGGCCCAGACCCCUACGGGAGGCAGCAGUGGGGAAUUUGGGAAAAUGGGGGCAACCCUGACCCAGCCAUCCGCGUGUGCGAUGAAGGCCUUCGGGUUGUAAAGCACUUUUGGCAGGAAAGAAACGUCGCGGGCUAAUACCCCGUGGAACUGACGGUACCUGCAGAAUAAGCACCGGCUAACUACGUG
rnacentral:rRNA from 1 species